rnacentral:rRNA from 1 species
GUCGAACGCGAAAGUCCCCUUCGGGGGGCAAGUAGAGUGGCGCACGGGUGAGUAACACGUAGGUAAUCUACCUUUGGAUGGGGAAUAACAACCGGAAACGGUUGCUAAUACCGCAUAAUGCAGCGGCACCUAAUGGUGACAGUUGUUAAAGCGGGGGAUCGAAAGACCUCGCGUCUAAAGAGGAGCCUGCGGCGGAUUAGCUAGUUGGUAAGGUAAUGGCUUACCAAGGCUACGAUCCGUAACCGGCCUGAGAGGGCGGUCGGUCACACUGACACUGACAUACGGGUCAGACUCCUACGGGAGGCAGCAGUCGGGAAUUUUGGGCAAUGGGCGAAAGCCUGACCCAGCAACGCCGCGUGAAGGAUGAAAUCCCUCGGGAUGUAAACUUCGCAAGAACGGGAAGAAUAAGUAGGGGACAAUACCCCCUAUGAUGACGGUACCGUUUGUAAGCUCCGGCUAACUCCGUGCCAGCAGCCGCGGUAAUACGGGGGGAGCAAGCGUUGUUCGGAUUUACUGGGCGUAAGGGCGCGUAGGCGGUCAGCACAAGUCAAUUGUGAAAUCUCCGAGCUUAACUCGGAAAGGUCAACUGAAACUGUGCGACUAGAGUGCAGAAGGGGCAACUGGAAUUCUUGGUGUAGCGGUGAAAUGCGUAGAUAUCAAGAGGAACACCUGCG